GACGAACGCUGGCGGCGUGCUUAACACAUGCAAGUCGAACGGAAAGGCCCAGCUUUCGUGGGGCGCUCGAGUGGCGCACGGGUGAAACACACGUGUGUAACCUCCUCUUGACUUUGGGAAGACUGCAGAAAACGGGGGAAUAUAGGGGAUAAGAGCACCUCGCGCAGGGUGGGGGGUGGAGAGUUUCGGCGGCUGGGGAUGGACUCGCGGCUUAUCAGCUUGUUGGUGGGGUAGUGGCUUACCAAGGCUUUGACGGGUAGCCGGCCUGAGAGGGUGACCGGCCACAUUGGGACUGAGAUACGGCCCAGACUCCUACGGGAGGCAGCAGUGGGGAAUAUUGCACAAUGGGCGGAAGCCUGAUGCAGCAACGCCGCGUGCGGGAUGACGGCCUUCGGGUUGUAAACCGCUUUCGCCUGUGACGAAGCGUGAGUGACGGUAAUUGGUGAAGAAGCACCGGCUAACUACGUG
rnacentral:rRNA from 1 species